UUUUUUUUUUUAAAUGGCCGCACCUGCGGCAUAUGGAAGUUCCCAGGCUAGGAGGCGAUUCAAAGCUGUAGCUGCAGGUCUCUGCCACACCAUAGCAAUGCUAGAUCCAAGCCACAUCUCAGACCUACAAAGCAGCUUGUGGCAAGGUCGGAUCCUAACCCUCUGAGAAAGUCCAGAGCUAGAACCUGCAUCCUCAGGGAGACAGCAUCGGGUCCUUAACCCACUGAGCCACAACGGGAACUCCUAAGCACUUAUUUAAUGAGCAGAGAUUGUUUUCAAGAGAGACUAUCAAUAAGGAGUGAUGGGAGACAAAGAGUGCAUCUGACCAGCAUGUUUAAAACACAGGGAGAAGAUUGUUUAUAUUUAACAGAAAUGAGGGAUAUGCAAAACCAAUAUCAAUAAAUCCCCUUUUUUGUAGCUAGGAGGAAGCUAUUACUUAUUGAUUGAGGCAAUAGUUUAUUAUUUCAUUUAUUAAAUUUAUUUAUUAGCUAUCAUCACGUUCACAUACUAUCAGUUAAUAUUAGUCACACUGAAAUGUUUGUAGGACUUGAUCAACCCAUAUCAAAUUAAGGAGUAAUUAAGGGGUUGCUUGGAAAAUGGGAUCAUCAGUUCUCCAUCUCAAUAGUGAGCAGAAAAUAAAUCCACUUUCCCUAAAAGAAAUCACGUUAUUACUAAGGGCAAUUUACUAUCUAUGAUGCACCUCCCCUUAAAGGAGAUUAUAUUAUAAUCUUAAAUUUUACAAUAUUCUUCAUACAUUAGGUCUUAGACAAGAGGGCUCAAGUUGUAAUUAAGAAGAAAUGUCUAACUUUCCAAAAUUCAAUGCAGUCUCCUCAGGGAAGGCAGAAUUGGUUUUUCUUCAUACCAACAGUCUGACCCACCUGUUCCUUUUAGUGUUCAUUUCCAGAUAGUUUCUGACGGCAGGGUUAGUGGGGCCAUAUUUCUGCAUUCUUUGCUCUAACAGAGAGCAUUAUUGAUGGCAGUGGGGCCAGAGUUAAAAUCCUGUUAGAAUGGUGAGCUACUUUCAUAAAGGGUUCAGUGGUUGGGGGGUAUAAAAGCAAGAGAUACAUUUAAACAAUAUUUUAAUCCCAGGGGAUUGAUGGUCCUUCUUGACAAAUGUGAAAAUGUCUGAAAAUCAUUAAUGAGAUAGAACAGUUGAAGAUUAGGUGUCCUUGGUAUGAGAAACUCCUGAUCUGGCUAGUCCAGUUGAUAAAGACUUUUUCCCACAGACUUCUAAAAAAUAUCAUAACCCAAUUCACUCAUCCCAAGAUUCACUGAAACCCUGACUUAUUUAUAUCAUGGAUAUUUCCACUAGAACUUUAAAGUUAACUCUUGACCUUGUCAAGAAUAUAAUAAUUUCUCUAUAAACCAGGAAAAGAAACCACCGAUGCCACUAAAAUUGAAUUUGCUCUCAAAUUAGUUGUGAUAAAGCAAUACCAAAGUUCUUUAUACAAAGUAAGGUGCACCUGGUGUUGAAUGUUAGCUUAAUGUUGUUAUUAUUAUUAUUAUUAACAUUAUAGCAUUAAAACUACACCAAUUGGUUUAUUACUUAUUAGUUUAUUACUAAAGUUGUAUAUGCAUUGUUUUUACUGUUUAUCCAGCACUUUGAUAUUAGUUAAUUUACUUAAUGCUCAUAUCAACCUUGUAGGAUCAAAGCUAUUCCCAUUAUGCAGUUAAAGCUAUACUGGCUCCAACUGUUACUAAUCUUGUUUGGAGUUACAGAGUCAACCAAGUGACAGAGUCAAUCCUGAAACCUAGGUCUUCCAAUUCCAAUUUCAGCAUCUUUUCUGCUAUACCAUGAAUUCCUCCCAUAACAUGAGUUUCUCCCUACCUUAAUCUCUUAUAAAACUCUAAUUUAUAGGGAAAAUUCCAACUGAGGAUGAAGAACAAGCAUCACACCAAGUACACCCACCCCCACUACCUCCUCCCAUUUCUUCUCCUCCACAACAGCAACGACAGCCAAGUUGUCCCUCAAUAGUCAGAAGAAACAAGGAAAUUAAAGAAGGAGAUACUUUGAAAUAAAGAAAAUACAGAUAAUAGGUCUCACAUAUAUUUUAAAUGCCAUAAAUGAAACAAAUUUAAUGAAUCAGGAAACUGAAAAUACACGAAAAGAGUAAAACCACCUCAGUGCCCCUUUUUUCUGGCUAUUGUGUCUCAUGAUGGCUCUGCCUGAGGCUGCUGCUUCAUUCAAAUCCAAGAAAAGGACAAGCUAAAUGCUCUGAUUUUUAAAAAAUAUACUUAUGUGUACAAAACAAUAAAUAUUUACGCAAAAUUUAAAAAUUAAUCAAAAUAGUCUUUAAGAAGUUGCUUUGAAUGCCUCAGAAUUUUUUUUCCUUAGGACAUUUUUUUCCUUCUGUGAAGGCUAAUAGCAUUUUCAUAAUAUAUCAAUAUAUUUUUAGUUUUGACAUUUAUUUUCAUAUUUUAUAAAUCAUCCUAGAGUUAAAUGAUCUGCAGAUUUUUGGCUCUCUGUGGGGAGCCUCCCCACUCAAAGCCUGGCAAAUAAAGUGUAAAAAUCUUAGUAUUAUUAUAUAUCUCAAAUCGUACACACCAUUUGCAAAAAUUUUGAAAUCAUUAUCUCAUAGAGAUUUCAGUGUAGACCUAUAAUGGAUUAUAUUAAUAAAAGUAAAAUACCCAGAGGUCACCUUCACUCAUUCCACAUUUUACUGACCUUUACAGUUGCAACCUACUAUAGAUAUUAAGAACAAAUUAACCAUUUUCGUAUCCCUAACCCCAACCCUCUGCCACUUACAAAGUAUGUGAUCAGAGGCAACCUCUUUAACGUAUCUGUGCAUCAGCUGUUCUCCAUAAUCAUACUAACAUCUUCACUGACCCAUUAUAAGGAUUAAAUAUAUUAUUUUAUAAAAAGCAUGUAAAAUAAUACCUGGCACUAACUACUUAACAACUUAAUUAUUAACGUCAUCAUCAUUCUCAUCAUCAUCAUCAUUAUUAUUAUUAAAGACGAAGAAACUCUCAAGGAGCAGAGAAGUUGAAAGUACUUGUUCAUGCAACAUAAUUGGUAGGGAGAGGUAUGUGAAUUUAAAUCCACACCAACACUUCAUGAAACAAUUAAGCAGUAGAUACAAAAGAAAGGUAUUGCUGAGAUUUUUCUUUCAAAAAUUUAAAGGUUAUAGAAGAAAAAAAAUCACCUAUUAACUCUGCAUUUAUGAGUCUGAUUUAUUACAAGGCACUUAUACUUUAAAAUAAGCUUUAUGUUUUUAUGGUCUUAACCCUUAUAAAAUGAUUUUUUAUAUUUCCUAUUAAUUCAAUUUUAACUUAAAAAUAAACUUAAGUCAAAGAGUAAAAUUAAUUUUUAAGUUAGCAAAGCAAAAUACAGUCACACUAAGAUGCUUCUUUCCUGUAUGUUCACUCAUUGCUCAAUGUCUAACUAAUGUUUAAAUGCACAUAAUGCUCCAGCCUGUCAAAACCUCAGUACUAUUCCCUAAAUGAGAAUAAAUAACUCUCUAACCUUGAGCUAUAUAGUUUUGAUUGAAAAUAUUCUGAUUAAUUUAUCCUUGUACACAUUUUUUCUUUUCAGUCUCUGAAACCACUCUGCACCAAGAACAUAAAAUCAUUUUCAUUCAUCAAAUAAUAAUUAUGCUGAUGUCCUCUAUACACUACCUCUUCUCCUCCUCGGGGAGAUUGGUUUAUGUUAAAACAUGAAUAAAUUUUUCUAAUACUGCUCAGAAAGGAAAUAGUGUUGAUAUGUUUAUAGAAGUAGGGAAAAUGGAAAUAAAGAUAAUAAAAGUUUACCUGGAAAUGAAGACCAAAUUUGUUAACAAAUACCAAAUUUCUGACUUUUUUUUUUUUUUUUGGUCUUUUUUAGGGCUGCACCUGUGGCAUAU
rnacentral:lncRNA from 1 species